GACGGAGGGUGCAAGCGUUGUUCGGCAUCACUGGGCGUAAAGCGCGUGUCGGCGGUCCGAUAAGUCGAGUGUGAAAGCCCGAGGCUCAACCUCGGAAGUGCAUUCGAAACUGUCGGGCUUGAGUACGGGAGAGGGAAGUGGAAUUCCUGGUGUAGAGGUGAAAUUCGUAGAUAUCAGGAGGAACACCGGUGGCGAAGGCGGCUUCCUGGACCGAUACUGACGCUGAGACGCGAAAGCGUGUGGAGCAAACAGG
rnacentral:rRNA from 1 species